GUGACUUCUACAGAGUGGAAGUGGAAGCAACAAAAUGCGUAACAAACGCUUGUGGAAAUAUUUUCUUGCAACAUUAUGAAGGCCCUACUGGGAAUCAAUAAUCACCAAAGAAAAUAAUAUAUCUUACUCCCAAAAACCCACGAAAUCUAUGGUGACUAAGCAUAUGGUGAAAUGCGGCCAUAAAAUAAGCACCGACUAUCUGAAAAUACUAAAACAGGAUAUAAGUCUUUAAAAAAUAAUUUAUUAUUGACAGUGGAGAAUUCAACAGGCAGAAAAGCGUGUCCUUCGGAGACAAUGAAACGAC